UUUGUAGCCUGCUAUGGUAUAACUUAGUGGCAGACGGGUGAGUAAUGUAUAGGAAUCUACCUAGUAGUACGGAAUAAUUGUUGGAAACGGCAACUAAUACCGUAUACGCCCUACGGGGGAAAAAUUUAUUGCUAUUAGAUGAGCCUAUAUUAGAUUAGCUAGUUGGUGGAGUAAUAGCCUACCAAGGCAAUGAUCUAUAGCUGAUCUGAGAGGAUGAUCAGCCACACUGGAACUGAGAUACGGUCCAGACUCCUACGGGAGGCAGCAGUGGGGAAUAUUGGACAAUGGGCGAAAGCCUGAUCCAGCCAUGCCGCAUGAGUGAAGAAGGCCUUUGGGUUGUAAAGCUCUUUUAGUGAGGAAGAUAAUGACGGUACUCACAGAAGAAGUCCUGGCUAACUCCGUGCCAGCAGCCGCGGUAAUACGGGGAGGGCUAGCGUUAUUCGGAAUUAUUGGGCGUAAAGGGCGCGUAGGCGGAUUAGUAAGUUAAAAGUGAAAUCCCAAGGCUCAACCUUGGAAUUGCUUUUAAAACUGCUAAUCUAGAGAUUGAAAGAGGAUAGAGGAAUUCCUAGUGUAGAGGUGAAAUUCGUAAAUAUUAGGAGGAACACCAGUGGCGAAGGCGUCUAUCUGGUUCAAAUCUGACGCUGAGGCGCGAAGGCGUGGGGAGCAAACAGGAUUAGAUACCCUGGUAGUCCACGCUGUAAACGAUGAAUGUUAAAUAUGGGUAGUUUUACUUUCUGUAUUACAGCUAACGCGUUAAACAUUCCGCCUGGGGACUACGGUCGCAAGAUUAAAACUCAAAGGAAUUGACGGGGACCCGCACAAGCGGUGGAGCAUGUGGUUUAAUUCGAUGCAACGCGAAAAACCUUACCACUCCUUGACAUG
rnacentral:rRNA from 1 species